rnacentral:lncRNA from 1 species
AAACAACACGAUGUUUGACUGGGACGAGGCGUGAAGGAUUACUCCACUAACCCCGCUGUCUCUAUCUCCUCAGGUGGACUGGGAGAGUAACGGCGGUCUGAUGAAGAAGCUGCCGUCGAUCCGUGAGGAUGAGGAGGGCGGCGAGGAGCAGAACUCCGUGUCUCGUGCUCCUCGCUCCCCGCUGCGUCUCAGCAGGGGGCUCAACUCGCCGCUGCGCUCCCCUCUCCUGCCGCCCAGGCCAUUCCGCGCUCCCUCCGAGCACAUCCGCCCCUCCACCCUACAGAUACCUGUGGUCAGCUUCUGCAGCGUGCCGCCUGAACUCAGCCCCAGAUUCGUGGACGGCAUCGAAACAGAGAGUAACUCCACAUCCUCACACAAGUUCGAGUUCAGUCCCAGCAUGUCGCCUGCAGCAUCGCCCUCCCCUUACCCAGGGAACCGAGAGCCCUCUGAGAUCAAGCAGAGUGUGUGUAAACUGACUGAAGAGGUGAGUGCUGCCCUGAUGUCGACGUGAUGUUUUAAUUUCUCUGUUCGUCAGCACAACACAUUUUAUGCAGUAACACGUUUUUAGUGUCACAAAAAAGUGACAGUAAUGUUUUUCAUAAAGUCAUCGUAUAGUUUCCAACACAGUCAGUCAGUCAGGCUCUUAUGGUAACAUCUGUUUCACCAACAUGUUUGCAUUAAAACAACCUUCCACCAGUGGCAACAUGUGAGGGCUUCCCGACAGCAACAUGACCCGUUUGAUAACAUCGUGAGGAUGAAUUAAGUUUACCUCCUCGUGCAAAGCUCCGACGCUCUCCAUCCUCCAAUCAGCACUUUGUCAUCACUGUGAAUGU